CCUACGGGAGGCAGCAGUGAGGAAUAUUGGUCAAUGGACGAGAGUCUGAACCAGCCAAGUAGCGUGAAGGAUGACUGCCCUAUGGGUUGUAAACUUCUUUUAUAUGGGAAUAAAACGUUCCACGUGUGGGAUUUUGUAUGUACCAUAUGAAUAAGGAUCGGCUAACUCCGUGCCAGCAGCCGCGGUAAUACGGAGGAUCCGAGCGUUAUCCGGAUUUAUUGGGUUUAAAGGGAGCGUAGGUGGAUUGCUAAGUCAGUUGUGAAAGUUUGCGGCUCAACCGUAAAAUUGCAGUUGAAACUGGCAGUCUUGAGUACAGUAGAGGUGGGCGGAAUUCGUGGUGUAGCGGUGAAAUGCUUAGAUAUCACGAAGAACUCCGAUUGCGAAGGCAGUUCACUGGACUGCAACUGACACUGAGGCUCGAAAGUGUGGGUAUCAAACAGGAUUAGAUACCCCAGUAGUC
rnacentral:rRNA from 1 species